UACGUAGGGUGCAAGCGUUAAUCGGAAUUACUGGGCGUAAAGCGUGCGCAGGCGGUUUUGUAAGUUUGUCGUGAAAGCCCCGGGCUCAACCUGGGAAUUGCGAUGAAGACUGCAAGGCUUGAAUCUGGCAGAGGGGGGUAGAAUUCCACGUGUAGCAGUGAAAUGCGUAGAGAUGUGGAGGAACACCGAUGGCGAAGGCAGCCCCCUGGGUC
rnacentral:rRNA from 1 species